CACUAUCGUUAACUGAAUACAUAGGUUAACGAGGCGAACCGGGGGAACUGAAACAUCUAAGUACCCCGAGGAAAAGAAAUCAACCGAGAUUCCCCCAGUAGCGGCGAGCGAACGGGGAGCAGCCCAGAGUCUGAAUCAGCUUGUGUGUUAGUGGAACGGUCUGGAAAGUCCGACGGUACAGGGUGAUAGUCCCGUACACCAAAAUGCACAGGUUGUGAACUCGAAGAGUAGGGCGGGACACGUGGUAUCCUGUCUGAAUAUGGGGGGACCAUCCUCCAAGGCUAAAUACUCCUGACUGACCGAUAGUGAACCAGUACCGUGAGGGAAAGGCGAAAA
rnacentral:rRNA from 1 species